rnacentral:misc_RNA from 1 species
GCCAUCAAGUUCUCAUCUUGCGAAUAACAUUGAGGGAAGGAGGAGUUUUUCAAAUGCCGAUCAGUAUGCAAUUAUGGUAUCUUGUCGAUGCAACUACACUGAAUCAAGGCUGUUUUUCAAGCGGCCAACUAGUUGGCGACCAUGUAUCUUAAGGGAUCUUAUGAUAUCGGUCGCAUCGGAAAUGUCAGGACAAUCCUCUGGAUCUAAUGAAAGAGCCUCUCAGCUUCCAGUUCAGGUAUUAACCCUUCAGGCAUCAAAUUUAACAUCUGAAGAUCUAACUAUGACAGUUCUUGCUCCUGCCUCAUUUACUUCUCCUCCUUCAGUGGGGUCCUUGAGUUCACCAAGAGCACCAAUUGGUCCAUUUGUUAGUUUGGCUGAGUCUACAGGUAGAAUAAAUGGGGAGAGACAUGGCGCUGCAAUGCAGAGGCUGAGCUCUGUGCCUUCAUCAGGGAAUCCAAAACAGAGUGGCAGUGUCGGAGUUCACUUUGUUUCUUUUAAUGGGCAAUCUUCUCCUAUAGCUGAUGUCAUUCCCAGUAAUGGUUUGGGUUGCACACACCUGUGGCUCCAGAGUAGAGUUCCGUUAGGAUGUGUUCCUGCUCGAUCGACAGCUACCAUCAAGCUUGAGCUACUUCCAUUGACUGAUGGCAUAAUUACACUGGACACUUUACAGAUUGAUGUUAAGGAGAAAGGUCUGACCUAUAUUCCUGAGCACUCACUGAAGAUAAAUGCAACUUCAAGCAUUUCCACAGGGAUUGUUUAGGAUGGAUCAAUUAUACUUUCUGUUUCUUACCAAAUUUAAUCUUCAACCAUGGAAAGCGAUUCGAAGGGCUGUCUUGACUUGUAUCACCUAGUUAUUUUGUGUUCCUUGAUUUUAAGAAAGUUAUACCCUCACCUCAUGUAUUGUGAAUCAUGACCUGGAUACACAAUGGUUGGUCAUAUACCCUCGUAAUGGGAGAGAAAUAUGCCCUUUAGAGAUGGAUUGAACCGUGUGAAUUGUUCUGAUUUAAUACUUCAAUGACAGCACGGAAUUCAUUCUUGCUCGUGUAUUCUAUUCUAUUCACUACUCUGUACACUCCAUUUUUUCACGGUAACGUUAUAGAUGCGGGGUCCAUAAUUAUCUGGUUUAAGACCUCUUUGUUGUAUUUUCUCUUUUCAUGUGUAUUCUAG